CCGGGGGAACUGAAACAUCUCAGUACCCCGAGGAAAAGAAAUCAACCGAGAUUCCCCUAGUAGCGGCGAGCGAACGGGGAGCAGCCCAGAGUCUUAAUCAGUAUCAGCAUCAGGAGAACGGUCUGGAAAGGCCGGCAAUAAAGGGUGAUAGCCCCGUAUCCGAAGGUGUUGGUGUUGUGAACUCGACGAGUAGGGCGGGACACGUGUUAUCCUGUCUGAAUAUGGGGGGACCAUCCUCCAAGGCUAAAUACUCCUGAUUGACCGAUAGUGAACCAGUACCGUGAGGGAAAGGCGAAAAGAACCCCGGCGAGGGGAGUGAAAUAGAACCUGAAACCGUGUACGUACAAGCAGUGGGAGCCUUGAUUUAUCAGGGUGACUGCGUACCUUUUGUAUAAUGGGUCAGCGACUUAUAUUCUGUAGCAAGGUUAACCGAAUAGGGGAGCCGUAGGGAAACCGAGUCUUAACUGGGCG
rnacentral:rRNA from 1 species